ACAAACACACACACAAACACACACACAGUCAGACACAUACACAAACACAGUCAGACACAAACACACACACACACUCAGACACAUACACAGACACAAACACAGUCAAACACAAACACACACAGUCACAAACACACACAGUCAGACACAUACACAAACACACUCAGACACAUACACAUACACAAACAGUCAGACACAAACACACACACACUCAGACACAUACACAGACACAAACACAGUCAGACACAAACACACACACACUCACAAACACACACACACUCACAAACAGUCAGACACAAACACACACAUACACAGUCAGACACACACACACACAGUCAGAGACACACACUCACAAACACACAGUCAGACACAAACACAGUCAGACACAAACAGUCACAAACACACACAGUCAGACACAUACACAAACACAGUCAAACACACACACACUCAGACACAUACACAGUCAGACACAAACACACUCAGACACAUACACACACACUCACAAACACACACACUCACAAACACAGUCAGACACAAACACACACAUUACCUUUUUUUUUAAAUUUAAAUCCCCCCCCCAACCUCCUUACCUUUGGGAGUGCUGGGGGGGGUCUCUCUCCCUGG